GGCUGAUCUACUUGCAUAUCACAUUUUCUGGGGUUUUCGUCACUACUGCGAUGGGUAGAUAAAGAUCAUCUGAUACUUUAAUAAAGUGCGGUCCCUAUUUAUAUAGAUGCAUAUCAGUAACAGAAAACCAGCUAAGGAAUAAAUGUUCUGUAUUAGAGAACUAACUACUUAGAGGAAGCAAAGUCAAGGUGGUUGAGAAUAUGAGGAAGGAGCAGCCACUUAAAAUCUUAGUGCUAUUUGUUUGUCCAUCUGUCGAUGAACAUUGGUUUCUUAUAAAUUUGACUUUUGAAAUGUUUUGUUGGUUUUGAUCCUACAACAGAUUGGUUUACAUGUUAGUGUAUUGUUGUUAUAAGUUCAAAUUUGUGGGACUUUUGAAUCCCCUCAAUUUGCUAGUCUUGGUAUGCAAAAGUCUUCUUGGACUAGGCUAGGCUGACACUACUUUAAAGGAGACUGAAGCACUAGGGAAUAAAAUUGGGCAGAGUAGUUCACAUACCGACAUCUAAUUUUCCAUAAGAUAUAAGAAAUAGAUGAGAUUUUGUAUAAGAUUUAAUAAUUAUGAAAACUUCAGUAUAAUGAGUCAAUUAAUCUA